rnacentral:rRNA from 1 species
UACGAAGGGGGCUAGCGUUGCUCGGAAUCACUGGGCGUAAAGCGCACGUAGGCGGUCUCUCAAGUCGGGGGUGAAAUCCUGGAGCUCAACUCCAGAACUGCCUUCGAUACUGGGAGUCUUGAGUACGGGAGAGGUGAGUGGAACUGCGAGUGUAGAGGUGAAAUUCGUAGAUAUUCGCAAGAACACCAGUGGCGAAGGCGGCUCACUGGCCCGAUACUGACGCUGAGGUGCGAAAGCGUGGGGAGCAAACAGG